UAACCCUCGCCCUUGCGGUGUCAAAGCCGCUCGGGUGGACUUGGACGUUGCCGUAGUUGGCUCGUCUUGAAAUGCAUUAGCUUUGCGCCCAUUGGUGUGCUCGGUGCUGCCGUGAUAAUUUCCUCGGCUCGCCUUAGGCCACCUCCAGCGACGCUGCUUCCAACGGUCCUUCGCGGACAAAAGACACAUAAAG
rnacentral:misc_RNA from 1 species